rnacentral:rRNA from 1 species
AACGAACGCUGGCGGCGUGCCUAACACAUGCAAGUCGAGCGGGAAAGUGGGAGCAAUCCUGCGAGUACAGCGGCGCACGGGUGAGUAACACGUAGGUAACCUACCUCCGAAACUGGGAUAACCUGUCGAAAGAUGGGCUAAUACCGGAUAAGACCACGAGAGCUUUGGUUCUUGGGGUAAAAGGUGGCCUCUUCUUGAAAGCUACCGUUUGGGGAUGGGCCUGCGUGCCAUUAGCUAGUUGGUGGGGAAUGGCCCACCAAGGCAAAGAUGGCUAGCUGGUCUGAGAGGAUGGCCAGCCACACUGGGACUGAGACACGGCCCAGACUCCUACGGGAGGCAGCAGUGGGGAAUAUUGCGCAAUGGGCGAAAGCCUGACGCAGCGACGCCGCGUGGGUGAUGAAGGCCUGGUCGUAA